rnacentral:sRNA from 1 species
GCUGGGUGCGGUGGUGCACACCUGUAAUCCCAGUAACCUGGGAGGCUGAGGCAGGAGGAGUUCAAAGCCAGCCUCAGCAACAGCGAGGCGCUAAGCAACUCAGUGAGACCCUGUCUCUA